rnacentral:rRNA from 1 species
UCGGUGCCGCAGCUAACGCAUUAAGUACUCCGCCUGGGAAGGACGCUCGCCAGAGUGAAACUCAAAGGAAUUGACGGGGACCCGCACAAGUAGCGGAGCAUGUGGUUUAAUUCGAAGCAACGCGAAGAACCUUACCUAAGCUUGACAUCCCAAUGACAUCUCCUUAAUCGGAGAGUUCCCUUCGGGGACAUUGGUGACAGGUGGUGCAUGGUUGUCGUCAGCUCGUGUCGUGAGAUGUUGGGUUAAGUCCCGCAACGAGCGCAACCCUUGUCUUUAGUUGCCAUCAUUAAGUUGGGCACUCUAGAGAGACUGCCAGGGAUAACCUGGAGGAAGGUGGGGAUGACGUCAAAUCAUCAUGCCCCUUAUGCUUAGGGCUACACACGUGCUACAAUGGGUAGUACAGAGGGUUGCCAAGCCGUAAGGUGGAGCUAAUCCCUUAAAGCUACUCUCAGUUCGGAUUGUAGGCUGAAACUCGCCUACAUGAAGCUGGAGUUACUAGUAAUCGCAGAUCAGAAUGCUGCGGUGAAUGCGUUCCCGGGUCUUGUACACACCGCCCGUCACACCACGGGAGUUGGAGACGCCCGAAGCCGAUUAUCUAACCUUUUGGAAGAAGUCGUCGAAGGUGGAAUCAAUAACUGGGGUGAAGUCGUAACAAGGUAGCCGUAUCGGAAGGUGCGGCUGGAUCACCUCCUUUCUAAGGA